CUUCAUUACAAAUUCUGUUCAAUGUAGAAUUUCUUAUCUCCUGUACUGUUUAUAGCUCACUAGACAGUGCGGGUGCCUCCUGAAUGAGAUUAAAGUUAAAUUUACAGAGCAGGUGAUAAUAACUUUUAAAGUAAGUUAACAAGUGAUUGAAAAUUAAACCAUGCAGUCUGUGUUAGUCACAGCCAGGGGAGGUGUGGCUAGAGCUGUAUAGACAUAAACAAAAGUGAUUUAACACCUAAAUGGCAGAAUAUUGAGC